rnacentral:rRNA from 1 species
UCUAUGGCCAUACCGCCCUGAAUGUGCCUGACCUUGGAAGCUAAGCAGGGUAGGGCCUGGUUGGUAGUUGGAUGGGAGAAGUCCUGUCUCAAGUAAGUGUGAGGAGAA